rnacentral:rRNA from 1 species
GACGAACGCUGGCGGCGUGCUUAACACAUGCAAGUCGAACGGAAAGGCCCUGCUUGCAGGGUACUCGAGUGGCGAACGGGUGAGUAACACGUGGGUGAUCUGCCCUGCACUUCGGGAUAAGCCUGGGAAACUGGGUCUAAUACCGGAUAGGAGCCAUUCUUAGUGUGAUGGUUGGAAAGUUUUUUCGGUGUAGGAUGAGCUCGCGGCCUAUCAGCUUGUUGGUGGGGUAAUGGCCUACCAAGGCGGCGACGGGUAGCCGGCCUGAGAGGGGGGACGGCCACAUUGGGACUGAGAUACGGCCCAGACUCCUACGGGAGGCAGCAGUGGGGAAUAUUGCACAAUGGGCGCAAGCCUGAUGCAGCGACGCCGCGUGGGGGAUGACGGCCUUCGGGUUGUAAACUCCUUUCGCUAGGGACGAAGCUUUGUGUGACGGUACCUAGAUAAGAAGCACCGGCUAACUACGUG